rnacentral:rRNA from 1 species
AGCAGCCGCGGUAAAUUCCAGCUCCAAUAGCGUAUAUUAAAGUUGUUGCAGUUAAAAAGCUCGUAGUUGAAUUUCGGGGUCAGCAGGUUGGUCGUGCCAUUGGUACGUACUGGUCUCGCUGAUUCCUCCUUUCUGAAGAACUGUAAUGCCAUUAAUUUGGUGUUGCAGGGAAACAGGACUGUUACUUUGAAAAAAUUAGAGUGUUUAAAGCAGGCUAACGCUUGAAUACAUUAGCAUGGAAUAAUGAAAUAGGACGUUUGAUCCUAUUUUGUUGGUUUCUAGGAUUGACGUAAUGAUUAAUAGGGAUAGUUGGGGGCAUUAGUAUUCAAUUGUCAGAGGUGAAAUUCUUGGAUUUAUUGAAGACUAACUACUGCGAAAGCAUUUGCCAAGGAUGUUUUCA